AGUCGAACGCAGUAGCAAUACUGAGUGGCAGACGGGUGAGUAACAUGUGGGAAUCUGCCUUGUGGUUCAGGACAACAUUGGGAAACCGAUGCUAAUACUGGAUAAGCCCUUACGGGGAAAGUUUUAAUGCCAUAAGAUGAGCCCGCAUUUGAUUAGUUAGUUGGUGAGGUAAUGGCUCACCAAGACAAUGAUCAAUAGCUGAUCUGAGAGGAUGAUCAGCCACACUGGGACUGAGACACGGCCCAGACUCCUACGGGAGGCAGCAGUGGGGAAUCUUGCACAAUGGAGGAAACUCUGAUGCAGCGAUGCCGCGUGAGUGAAGAAGGCCUUUGGGUUGUAAAGCUCUUUUGUAGGGGAAGAUAAUGACUGUACCCUAAGAAUAAGGUCCGGCUAACUUCGUGCCAGCAGCCGCGGUAAUACGAAGGGACCUAGCGUAGUUCGGAAUUACUGGGCGUAAAGCGCGCGUAGGCCGUUGAGUUAGUUAAUUGUGAAAUCCCAAAGCUUAACUUUGGAACUGCAAUUAAAACUGCUCGACUAGAGUUUGAUAGAGGAAAGCGGAAUACAUAGUGUAGAGGUGAAAUUCGUAGAUAUUAUGUAGAACACCAGUUGCGAAGGCGGCUUUCUGGAUCAACACUGACGCUGAGGCGCGAAAGUAUGGGUAGCAAAGAGGAUUAGAUACCCUCGUAGUCCAUACCAUAAACGAUGAUUGCUAGAUGUUGGAAAUUUAUUUUCAGUAUCGCAGCUAACGCAUUAA
rnacentral:rRNA from 1 species